UCCCUGGAGGACUAGUGGUUAGGCCUCGGCGCUCUCACUGCUGCGGCCCGGGUUCACUUCCUGGCCAGGGAA
rnacentral:tRNA from 2 species